GCCGAAGUGGCGGAAUGGCAGACGCGCGUGGUUCAGGACCACGUGCCCGCAAGGGCGUGGAGGUUCAAAUCCUCUCUUCGGCA
rnacentral:tRNA from 1 species